rnacentral:rRNA from 1 species
AGACCCGAAACCCGGUGAUCUAGCCAUGGGCAGGUUGAAGGUUGGGUAACACUAACUGGAGGACCGAACCGACUAAUGUUGAAAAAUUAGCGGAUGACUUGUGGCUGGGGGUGAAAGGCCAAUCAAACCGGGAGAUAGCUGGUUCUCCCCGAAAGCUAUUUAGGUAGCGCCUCGUGAAUUCAUCUCCGGGGGUAGAGCACUGUUUCGGCAAGGGGGUCAUCCCGACUUACCAACCCGAUGCAAACUGCGAAUACCGGAGAAUGUUAUCACGGGAGAC